UUAUAAAAAUAUAAAUGAAUUGUAUAUAUCUUUUAUAUUAUAUCUAAGAUAUACAAGUAUAUAAAGAGACUAUUAUGGAAAUACGUGCUAUGUAUUAAAGAGAGAAAUUUAACUUAUGUACAUGAAUAAAACAUAUGAACUCUUAGAGAAAUUAUUUAAUAAACGAAGUGAAUUGAAAUAUCUUAUUAACUUCAGGAAAAAAAAUCAAACGAGAUUCUAUGAUUAGUGUGAACUAAAAUAGAGUAGCCUAUAUAAAUAAGUAAAAUGGCCUAAAAGCUGUUUGAAUUUAUGGGGAACCUUCCUCAAAGCCUAAAUAUAAUACAUGAGCGACAGUGAAAAGUACCGUGAGGGAAAAUUUUUUUGAAAUAGUAGUUUUAUAAGCAGCUCAAGCUGAUAAUAAAAAGCAAGAGCGUACCUUUUGCAUAAUGGGUCACCAAGUUAACAUUAGAUGCGAGCUAAUUAUCUUGAUUUGAUAGAUGACAUGCAUAGUUAAACCGAUCAUUAAAAUAAUGAAUAGUGUCUAAAGUUAGACCCGAAGCCUAGUGAUCUUACUAUAGUCAGGGCUAUAAAGGUCCGAACGGGUUAUCGUUGCAAAGAUAUCCGAAGAACUAUGGUAAGCGAGUGAAAGACAACACUGACUAGGAUAGCUGGUUUUCUGCGAAACCUAUAAAAGUAGGCAGUUUAAGUAACAUCUUAGCAGGUACAGAACUUUAUCUCAGACAAGAUGUAUAUUCUCAUAUGGAUAAGUAAGGCGCGGCGCGGCGAAAGCUCUUCCUCGCUAUUUAUCUAUUUAUAUGAAAUACAUUUUAUUUGUAUACAUCGGGGGAUCGUGAAGAUUUUAUCGGUGAGUAUGUAGACUCGGAAUGACAAAGAUGGUUCUUGAAUUAUCGGACAUAGAAUGCUAAGGUUGUAUGUCAAAAGGGAAACAGCCCAGAACAAAGAAAUAGUUAAGGUUCCAAAAUUAUUAUUAAGUGAAAUUAAGAGGGUUUUUAUAUAAGUCGACAAGAAGAUAGGCCUGGAAGCAGCCAUAUUUUAAAGACCUCGUAACAGAGCACUUGUUAAAUCUUAAAAGCAUCGAAAAUUUAUCGGAUCUAAAUAAUAUACCGAAACUUUGUCCACAAAUGACCAUAAUAAAUUAAGUUAUGGUCAUUUUUGUGGGGUAGCAGAACGUUGAGUUAAUAUUUGACUUUUCUUUUUUAAAGAAAAAUAUAGGACAACUCAAGUGAUAAUGGUGACAUGAGUAACAAAAAAGAAGGGCUAUGUAAAUUAUAAUAUAAUAUAAUAUUAUAUUAUAUGUUAAGCUCUCUCGCCUAAAGCUUAUGGAAAGAGUUUUAAAAAAGUAACGGCCUCUAAGUUGAUAAUACUUAUAUUAUUGCGAUGAGAAAAUCUAAUUACUUUAGACAACAUUUAACCUUCAAGGCACGGGCAAGCACCUCGAAAAAUUUAUUUUUUUUGAGGAGCUUGCAACCGCGCCUUGUAGGGAGUGAAAAAUGUGCUGGAAAAAAAAGUAACCGAUCUGAUUUUCUUUAUAAAACUAAGUGGGUGACACUACUCAUGCAUGCAAACUACUGCGUAGUUAAGCCAGCAUGUAGUACGUAGUACCACUCGCUUAAUUAAGGAAAUAGGAGAAGGAAGUACCGUACCUAGAAACUGAAACAAGUAAGCUAGUAGAGAAUACGAAGGCGUAAUGAGGUAACAAUCAUAAAGGAACUCGGCAAACUUACUACCGUAACUUAGGGAUGUUUGUCCUCCAGUAAUUUAAGUAUUAACACUUAAAAUUGACUGGUAAUAUAUUGGGAAAAUUUCAAAAACUACUUUUAACAUAGGCGCAAGCUCUAGAUAAGUAGAUUUGAAGCGAAGUUUAUUAGUAUUUGUAGUCCCGACGGCGCGGCGCAAGCUCCUCGUCGGGGCAAUGCAAGCUCUGCUGUAACCUUUUUAGCGGGGUGCGCAAGCAGGCGCAAGCUCGCAAGCUCUAAAAAAACAAUAAAUUCGUUCAACGACUAAGGCGUGAGUAAUACAGCAAUAAUCGCCUUUUAAAACCCAACUUAUCUUUACCUGUAAUAUGCAAAUAAAAUAAUGUCCAACAAAUGAAGAAUCAAGUAAAUAAAAAUUUUUAUGAGUGAGUUGCUGGGUUUAUAGAUGCUGAAGGGUGUUUUCACAUAAAACGUAAAAUAAUGUCUAAUAAUAAAAUGCGUUAUUAUUUUGAGUUUGUAAUUAAAUUACACAUAGACGAUGAAGCCGUUUUAAGGACUAUUUGUCACAUACUAGGUGUGGGACGAGUAGUACUAAGACCUAAAUAUAAUACUUGUUCCUUUGAGGUAGGUUCUGAAAAGGAACUACGUAUUCUCAUCGAUUUAUUGGACGAGUUUCAAUUAAUGGGUGAUAAGUAUUUAGAUUAUAUUAAUUUCAGGGAGGCUUUCUUUUUAUACUUUGAUCGUUCAGAUUCAGUCACUGAAUCUUUGAAGACCAAAAUUGAAGAGAUACGGGCCAACCAUAAUACAAAACGUGCAUCUACUACUCUACCUGUCAAUUAUAAACGCGUAAUUACUGAUUAUAAGUUAUUAGGGUUUAUAGAAGGGGAGGGUAGUUUCAUCGUACAGACACGGGGGUUAACUCCUAAAUUUGAAUUAGAGUUAACUUCAGCUCAAAAACCCCUUUUAAUAGAUAUUUGUGAAUAUUUGAUGCUACGUAUCCAACUAAUAGCUGAUGCGACACAACCUCUAAAUCUACCUUCUAAAGGUGGAAUUAAAAUACGUGAUCGUAAGGCUAAGGGUAAUAGUAAACCUUCCGUGAGAUUAGAAAUCACAGGAAUUGAUUUUUUACACAAUUAUUUUAAUGUGUUUUUAAGCAAAUUAGAAUUUUAUUCUAGAAAGAAGGAGGAUUUUAAAAGCUUUUGCUUUAUUUGUAACAAAUUAUUUAGCAAAGCACACAUUGAUAAUGAAGAAGUAAAAAUUUUAUUAUUAAGGCUUUCAGAGGGAAUGAAUGGAGCAAGAUUAUCUACAAAUAAACUUACAGAUAAAACAUUAACCGAUAAGAUUAUUUGCAGGGAUGAAGAAACUCCUGAUUCUUAAGAAAAAUAAAACCCUUGAAUAUGAGAUUUAUAUCACAUAAGGCGCAAGCUCUCAAUUCACUAAUCGUGUACAGGAACAUUAUAAUAGAAAAUUUUAGCGAAAACGGUAAUAGAUAAUGAAGACAUAGUCUGAACCAUGUUGUAAAAUAUGGAAAGUUAAAGUUAAGGCGCAAGCUCUAAUUAGAGCUUUCGCCUUAAUAACUGAUAACAAGUUGAAGGAGGGCUCAUUAGUCUCGAUUAAUACGAGUAAAAAGGAAGAAGCAUGAAAUAUUGUUGUACGACUGUUUAAUUAAAACAAAGCACUUUGCAUAAAGAUGAAAAUCUAGGUAUUGAGUGUGAUCUCUGCCCGAUGCCGGCUGGUUAACGAAUUAACUAUAUUGAUAAAAGUAUGGUCUUAGAGGAACCCCCGGUUAAUGGCGGCCUUAGCGUGAGGGUCCUAAGGUAGCGAAACGCCUUGGCCGUUAAAUGCGGUCUUGCAUGAAUGAUGUAACGAUACAACAGCUGUCUCUAUGAUUGACUCAGUGAAAUUGGAAUAGCAGUGCAGAUACUGCUUACCUCUAGUUAGACGAGAAGACCCUAUGCAGCUUUACUGUUACUAAUUAUUGAAUAUGAUCCCGGCUAUUCUGAGUGUAUAAGGUAAUUGAUAAAAUAUAAUUGAAACACCUUUAUUAUUCCAUCAUAUUAUAAUUUAUUUAUUUUAAAUUUAUCUUAGAUUUUUAUACUAUGCACUACUAAACGUGCUAGUAUGGAAAUCAGUGUAGCUAUAUGCGGAACUAAAUAAGAAAGUCAACCGAAAUAAAUAAAUCAAACUACAAGGACGGCGCUAUAUAUAGCUCGUCGUCAAAAUACGUAUCAGUAUGGUGUGAUAAGGCAAUUUUGUGGCGCAGCUACAUAGCUGCACCGCUAGUUAGUUGACACCUCACUAUGAAGUUACUAAUUUACGAACUAUAAAAUUACGAAGUUAGGAACUUCGUAGUUUACUCAUACCAAUACAAUACGUAUUUAUAAGGUAGAACAAUUGUUAGGAGACAGUUUAUGCGGGGCACAGACCCCAUAAAGAGUAAAUGGGUGUGUCUAAUAAUAAAAAAAUUUAUGUUUGCAAUUUUUUAUAGUAAUCCUAUAUUUAAUCAUGUAUGUUCUAUUCAUAGAAUAUAAUAUGAAUGAAUUCGAUUCAUUUAUAAUAUAGUCCUUGGGUACAGUAUAAAAAUUAUAUAUGUAUUUUUGCAAUAUAAUUUCCAUGAAAUUAGGAGGUAAGAUUUUAUUUAUAGUGAAAUUAGACGUAAUAAAGUAAAUAUUAUGAGAUAGGCGCAAGCUCGAGACACAAGUUCUGGCGCAAGCUCUGGCACCUCGAGUUUGCACCUCUCUAAUAUUUUACUAUAGUUAUUAUUUAGUGCUGCUGUGCUUAAAAUAUUUAGCGCAAGCUAAAUCUAAGCCUGAAGUAUGCUACGCUUAAAUUAUUUUAAGUGUAAGCUUUUUAAUAAUAAAAAUGUUUGUUACUUAUAAAGCUUAAUGGCUUAAUCUUGCCUUACUGUUUGAUUAACAACAAAUCUUACAGUCGCGUAAGCGGGGCAUAGGAUCACAAGAUACAAAAAGGAGAGAUCUUGGAUUAUUGGAAAAGCUACGCUAGGGAUGUUUGUCCUUCAAUAUUUAUAUUUAUGUAUACGAAGUCCGCAUACAGACGUAUAGACAUACAUACUACGUUAGGGAUAUUUGUACAGAAGUAUGUCUGCAUAAAUAUCAUACGAAGUAUGAAAUCGGCUUACGUACGCAAUAAAUAAUUGAUAAUAUAUUGGGUUAAUUUCAAAAAUUACUUUUAAGGCUGGGGUGAUAUAUAGCUGUAUACAGCUCGCUCUAGAAAAAAAGUAAAUUUGAAGCGAAAUUUAUCUCAGCAUUAUAAAGCAGCUAGCUGCUUACAUAAAGAUAAAAUCGUUCAACGACUAUAAGGUGAGUAAUGCUAACAAUAAUCCUUUAUUAAUACCCAACUUUCUUUUUUUUUUUAUAUGUAAAAAAAUAUAAUAAAUUAUACAUAGCAUGAAUAAUAAAACUCCAAAGUUUUUAUCUAUUUUUUUGGCGCAAGCUCUUAAUAAAGAUAAUAAAAAAAUACCUUUUAAAAGUAAAUCUGAAGUAGGAAAAAGAUACUUUCCCCCUGUAUCUAGGGAAUGAAAAAAUAGUAUUUAUGUAUUUAAUAAAAAUAAUAUAAAAAAUAUGCCUAUUUAUGAUUUAAAUAUUAAUUUAUUAAUUAAAAGUUUUUUUAAUUUGUAUUUUAAUCCUAAAUUUUUAUAUAAUAAAUAUAGAUCAUAUAAAACUAGAAGUAUUUCAUUAAAUAAAAUAUUUGCUAGUAAGGCAGAAGUAAAACAUACUAAUAAUAAAGCAGUUAUAACUGUAUAUGUCUAUAACAGAGAAAAAAUAUCUUUAUUAAAAAAAAUAAAAAAAUUAAACAAAAAUCUUUUUAAUUUAAUAGCUAAAUUUGCAGUUAUUUUAUAUAAGAAGGAAGGUGGCUGCAUACGAAGUCUGGCUGCUUCUAAUCCGGAGGAUAUGCAAACAAGCUAUAGUUCUGAUUUUAAGGAUUUAGCUAAAGCUGAUAACCAACCAGUAGCCCUACGAAGUCUGCAAGAAAUUUUUAAAUAUGAAAAAACUCUAACUAAAUCUUUUUUAAUUAAAAACUUAAGACUUCUUAGAAAAUAUAAAUUAAGACUAAAUCUUAAUAAAUAUAAAUUUGAAGAAAAACUUUUAUAUAAAUUGAAAAAUUUUAUAGUAAAAUAUUAUAAUAAGAAAGUUGAAUUUAAUAUUGUAAAUAUUAGAUCGGUGGUAUUUCAUAGUGAUUUUUUCACUAAUAUUUUACUAUCUAAAUUAAAAAAUAGAAGAGCUAAUAUAUUAAGAACGAUGGAUACUAUUUUAAAUAAGGUAGUUUUACCUAAAGUAAAUAGAAUAAUAGAAAAAAGUUUUCAUAUAAAAGGUAUAGAUUUUAAAUUAUUAGAAAAUAAAUAUCUAAAUACUAAAAUAAGUUAUAUACUAAGAGGGGGCAAGCUCGAUAAGAAUUUAUCUAAAUUCUUAAAUAAGUUAUUUUAUAACGUUAUGAGUGCCGCUGCCACAGCAGCAGCUUCACACCAGUGCCUUAAUAAAGAUUAUUUAAAAAUAUAUGAAAUAAUUUUUAAUUCUAUAAAUUAUAAAAAUAUGGGCGGUGUAAGAUUAGAAGCUAAAGGUAGAUUAACUAAACGAUAUAGAGCAGAUAGAUCUCAAUUUAAAGUAAGGUGGAAAGGAGGUUUGAAAAACAUUGAUUCUUCAUAUAAAGGAUUAUCAUCUAUAAAUAUGAGAGGUUUUGUUAAACCUAAUAUUGAUUAUUCAAUACUAGCAUAUAAACGUCGGAUUGGUGCUUUUGCAGUAAAAGGUUGAGUGUCAGGUAAAUCUUAAUCUACAUCAGCUACUUAUAGUUCAGUUAAUACGAGUAUAGAUUCAUGGGCUGUCACAGGAUUUUCUGAUGCAUAAGGUUCAUUUAAUAUAACAGUUUAUAAUGAUAAUACUCGUUCUACUAGUUGAGCUAUAAAAUUACGUUUUAAAAUUGAGUUACAUAAUCGGGAUUUACAUAUAUUAAAUGAAAUUAAAAAAUUCUUUAAUGGAGGAACUAUCAUAACGGAUGAAAAUAGUCAAAUUAAAUUUGAGUCUUUAAAAGAAUUAGAGUUGAUUAUAAAUCAUUUUGAUAAAUAUCCUCUAGUUACAAAAAAAUUUGAAGACUAUCUACUUUUUAGACAAGCUUAUGUAAUGUUAAAAAACAAAGAACAUUUAACUGAAGUAGGUUUAAAAGAAAUACGUAAUAUAAAAUUAUAUAUGAAUAAAGGAAGAGUUUUAAGUUAAAAAGCAAUGUGGAAGCUAUAAAUAAAAAAAAAAUAGCGGAAAAUAAUAGGUUUGUAUUUAGGGCGUAAACUCGUACAUUAAUUUUAGGUACGAGCCCCAUCUGGUGAAAAAAAAAUAAGAAAUGAAGAAAUAGUCUGAACCCUUUUGUAAAAAAUGGAAAUAAAUUAAAAUGAUAACAAGUUGAACAGGCUAAUUUGCGCAAGAGUGUACAUAAUGAGUGCGCGGUUUGGCACCUCGAUGUCGGCUUAACUUAUCCUCACGGAUGCAGAAACUAUGUAGGGUACGACUGUUCGUCGAUUAAAAAGUUACAUGAGCUGGGUUAAAUACGUCGUGAGACAGUAUGGUUUCUAUCUUCUAGAGGGAAUUAGAAUAUAACAAGGAUUAAUCUUGUACGAAAGGAACAUGGGGUACUGUUGUAUACCCAAAAGGUAUGCCAAUUUUAUUAACCUCUGGUUUACCUGUUGUUUAUGUGCCUUGUAUUAAUUUCUUUUUUUUCGACGUCGUACGAAAGAAAAAAAAGGAAAAUGGGAUGUUAUAGUCACUAACUAAAUAAAUAACAUAAGCAUGGCAGGAAAGCUAAGUUAGUCAAAGAUAAGUGCUGAAAGCAUAUAGGCACGAAGCUUGUCUUGGGAUAUUUCUUAAAUAUACGUAAUAUAAUAUUACGUCAUUAGGCUUAAUUUGCAAGAAUCUAGAGAUUUUAAGGUAUUAAGUACUAAUUUUAUAGUAAACUAUAUAAUUGAU
rnacentral:precursor_RNA from 1 species